UACGAAGGGUGCAAGCGUUACUCGGAAUUACUGGGCGUAAAGGGUGCGUAGGUGGUUGUUUAAGUCUGCUGUGAAAGCCCCGGGCUCAACCUGGGAAUGGCAGUGGAUACUGGACAGCUAGAGUGCGGUAGAGGGUAGUGGAAUUCCCGGUGUAGCGGUGAAAUGCGCAGAUAUCGGGAGGAACACCAAUGGCGAAGGCAGCUCGCUGGGACGGUACUGACGCUGAGGC
rnacentral:rRNA from 1 species